GACGAACGCUGGCGGCGUGCUUAACACAUGCAAGUCGAACGGAAAGGCCUCUUUCGUGGGGUACUCGAGUGGCGAACGGGUGAGUAACACGUGCGUAACCUGCCCUUGACUUUGGGAUAACUUCCGGAAACUGGGGCUAAUACCGGAUAGGAGCUCCUUCUGCAUGGUGGGGGUUGGAAAGUUUCGGCGGUUGGGGAUGGACUCGCGGCUUAUCAGCUUGUUGGUGGGGUAGUGGCUUACCAAGGCUUUGACGGGUAGCCGGCCUGAGAGGGUGACCGGCCACAUUGGGACUGAGAGACGGCCCAGACUCCUACGGGAGGCAGCAGUGGGGAAGAUUGAACAAUGGGUGGAAGCCUGAUGCAGCAACGCCGUGUGCGGGAUGACGGCCUUCGGGUUGUAAACCGCUUUCGCUCAUGACGAAGCUUUGUGUGACGGUAGUGGGUAAAGAAGCACCGGCUAACUACGUG
rnacentral:rRNA from 1 species